rnacentral:rRNA from 1 species
CAUAUGGUCGACCUGCAGGCGGCCGCGAAUUCACUAGUGAUUCGUAUUACCGCGGCUGCUGGCACGAAGUUAGCCGGGGCUUCUUCUCCGGGUACCGUCAUUAUCGUCCCCGGUGAAAGGAUUUUACAAUCCUAAGACCUUCAUCAUCCACGCGGCAUGGCUGCGUCAGGCUUUCGCCCAUUGCGCAAGAUUCCCCACUGCUGCCUCCCGUAGGAGUCUGGGCCGUGUCUCAGUCCCAGUGUGGCUGGCCAUCCUCUCAGACCAGCUACUGAUCGUCGCCUUGGUGAGCCAUUACCUCACCAACUAGCUAAUCAGACGCGGGCCGCUCCAAAGGCGAUAAAUCUUUCCCCCGAAGGGCUCAUCCGGUAUUAGCACAAGCUUCCCUGUGUUGUUCCGAACCUAAGGGUACGUUCCCACGUGUUACUCACCCGUCCGCCACUAUCCCGAAGGACCGUUCGACUUGCAUGUGUUAAGCCUGCCGCCAGCGUUCGCUCUGAGCCAUGAUCAAACUCUAAUCGAAUUCCCGCGGCCGCCAUGGCGGCCGGGAGCAUGCGAC